AGCGCAUACGGUGGAUGCCUAGGCAGUAAGAGGCGAUGAAGGACGUUGUAGCAUGCGAUAAGCCGCGGGGAGUUUGCAAACUAACCCUGAUCCGCGGAUUUCCGAAUGGGGAAACCCACCUGAGAUCACUCAGGUAUCGUGCAGUGAAUACAUAGCUGCAUGAAGCGAACCCGGAGAACUGAAACAUCUAAGUACCCGGAGGAAAAGAAAUCAACCGAGAUUCCCUUAGUAGCGGCGAGCGAACGGGGAUUAGCCCUUAAGUUGUAAUAGUGUUAGUGGAACAGUCUGGAAAGUCUGGCGAUACAGGGUGAUAGCCCCGUACACGAAAACCUAUUACAGUGAAAACGAGUAGGUCGGAGCACGUGAAACUUUGACUGAACAUGGGGGGACCAUCCUCCAAGGCUAAAUACUCCUUACUGACCGAUAGUGAACCAGUACCGUGAGGGAAAGGCGAAAAGAACCCGGAGAGGGAGUGAAAUAGAUCCUGAAACCGUAUGCGUACAAGCAGUGGGAGCACCCUCGUGGUGUGACUGCGUACCUUUU
rnacentral:rRNA from 1 species